rnacentral:rRNA from 1 species
GGAGGAAAAGAAACCAACAGGGAUUGCCUUAGUAGCGGCGAGUGAAGCGGCAAAAGCUCAAAUUUGAAAUCUGGCGCCUUCGGUGUCCGAGUUGUAAUUUGAAGAUUGUAACCUUGGGGUUGGCUCUUGUCUAUGUUUCUUGGAACAGGACGUCACAGAGGGUGAGAAUCCCGUGCGAUGAGAUGCCCAAUUCUAUGUAAGGUGCUUUCGAAGAGUCGAGUUGUUUGGGAAUGCAGCUCUAAGUGGGUGGUAAAUUCCAUCUAAAGCUAAAUAUUGGCGAGAGACCGAUAGCGAACAAGUACAGUGAUGGAAAGAUGAAAAGAACUUUGAAAAGAGAGUGAAAAAGUACGUGAAAUUGUUGAAAGGGAAGGGUUUGAGAUCAGACUCGAUAUUUUGUGAGCCUUGCCUUCGUGGCGGGGUGACCCGCAGCUUAUCGGGCCAGCAUCGGUUUGGGCGGUAGGAUAAUGGCGUAGGAAUGUGACUUUACUUCGGUGAAGUGUUAUAGCCUGCGUUGAUGCUGCCUGCCUAGACCGAGGACUGCGAUUAUCAAGGAUGCUGCUAAUGAUCCCAAACCGCCCGUC